rnacentral:lncRNA from 1 species
AGCGCCUGCCUGUUUCUCCCCUUGGUCCACCCGAGUUCUGGGGGGAGGGCAGGACAUGCUAAGCCUGGAAGGAAGCAUUGGGAAACUCAGCAGUGUUCGCCCAAAUGACCCUUCAUGAGAUGCUGCACAGCUGGGAUGGAAGGCCACCUUUUUCUUUUUGCUUCCUUCCCGUGAGCCCUAGGGACCCUAUCUUCCCCAGCUCAGGGGACAGGUCCUGGGGUGACACAAGUCAUGCUUCAUACACUUUAAAGUCACUUUGUGUUCCACAGCUAACCACUCGGCCCAGCAUUCGGCCCAGCCCACUACCCUUUAAAUCUGUGGUUCACCAGGAUAUAUAUAGACACACACGUAUAUAUUCCUCUGAAGACUUGGACUGUUUUCUCUUGGUGGCUUGGGUCUUGACAAGGAUAUAUGCAGUGCAGACUUGGGCUGAGGUGUGCAGGCGGAUAAUACUUUUGGACCUGGGGGCCUGCAGUUUUGUUUUGGGGGCUGGGGGCUGGGGGGAGAGAAGCAGGAUCGGAACUGUGUAGCCCAAACUAUCCCUAAACUCAUGGCCCAUCCUCCUGUCUCAGCCUCCCAAAUGUUAGCCGUUCAGGUUUCAGCAUGAGCCGCCAUGACGGGUACUGUGGCUGUGUGCCUGAAGGUGGCUCCUUAGAUCCCUCCUCCUGACCACACCCACUCAGCUCUAACAACCUAGAGAUGGUGAAGGCUGAGACAAGGGUGGUCAUGUGUGACCAGCUUAAGUCAGGUCAUCAAGACAAGGCUUUGCCCAAUGUGGUUUCACAUUCUGUGGACACCGAAGAAUAAGAUCAGGCCCAGGAGAUCUUGAAGCGAGUGGAACGUGGCUUCCUCUGAAAGCCAGUGACUUGAUGGAUGGGGUGGAUAGCACCCACAGAACUUCCACUCUCCUACCCAAAACAACAAGAUAAAAUGGGGACCAAUGCUUUUAACUUUGCAUAUUUGUUUUUUGGGGUAAGUUUCUCCCUUUUCCUUCAACAAUGGGCAAUAUCCUUGAUUUAUGGGGAGAAGAAAAACUGUUGGAACCACACCAAUGAUAUCUUCAUUUGUAAUACUUGAAAUUUAUUUUUUUAUUAUUUUGAUAGCAGAUGUGCUAUUUAUUUAUUUAAUAUGUAUAAGGGAGCCUAAAACUAGAAAGCUGUAUAGAUUGGGUUUAAUUGUUCAUUGGUUUGGGGCCUUCUUUCAAUGUGUGACUGAUGACUUCUUCAUGUUCCGUGUAAUUGUCUCUGUCGAAGACCUGGGAAGAAGCUAUGCAAGCUUUUAAACAGGAUGCGCCUUUCAGAAAUUUGUAUAUUUUGCAGUUGCAAGAACAAUAAAAACCUGGUUGAGAUAUACUGGCGG